GCUAAUACCGGAUAAUAUUUUGAACCGCAUGGUUCAAAAGUGAAAGACGGUCUUGCUGUCACUUAUAGAUGGAUCCGCGCUGCAUUAGCUAGUUGGUAAGGUAACGGCUUACCAAGGCAACGAUGCAUAGCCGACCUGAGAGGGUGAUCGGCCACACUGGAACUGAGACACGGUCCAGACUCCUACGGGAGGCAGCAGUAGGGAAUCUUCCGCAAUGGGCGAAAGCCUGACGGAGCAACGCCGCGUGAGUGAUGAAGGUCUUCGGAUCGUAAAACUCUGUUAUUAGGGAAGAACAUAUGUGUAAGUAACUGUGCACAUCUUGACGGUACCUAAUCAGAAAGCCACGGCUAACUACGUGCCAGCAGCCGCGGUAAUACGUAGGUGGCAAGCGUUAUCCGGAAUUAUUGGGCGUAAAGCGCGCGUAGGCGGUUUUUUAAGUCUGAUGUGAAAGCCCACGGCUCAACCGUGGAGGGUCAUUGGAAACUGGAAAACUUGAGUGCAGAAGAGGAAAGUGGAAUUCCAUGUGUAGCGGUGAAAUGCGCAGAGAUAUGGAGGAACACCAGUGGCGAAGGCGACUUUCUGG
rnacentral:rRNA from 1 species